GCCUAGGUCGSAUUAGCUAGUUGGUGUUGUAACGGCUCACCAAGGAGAUGAUCCGUUGGUGGCCCGARASGACGAACAGUCACACUGGAACUGACACAUUUCUCAGACUCCUACGGGAGGCAGCAGUGGGGAAUAUUGSACAAUGGGCGAAAGCCUGAUCCAGCCAUGCCGCGUGUGUGAAGAAGGUCUUCGGAUUGUAAAGCACUUUAAGUUGGGAGGAAGGGUUGUAGAUUAAUAMUCUGCAAUUUUGACGUUACCGACAGAAUAAGCACCGGCUAACUCUGUGCCAGCAKCCGCGRUAAWACAGAGGGUGCAAGCGUUAAUCGKAAUUACUGGGCGYAAAGCGC
rnacentral:rRNA from 1 species